GACGAACGCUGGCGGCGUGCUUAACACAUGCAAGUCGAACGGAAAGGCCCUGCUUUUGUGGGGUGCUCGAGUGGCGAACGGGUGAGUAACACGUGAGUAACCUGCCCUUGACUUUGGGAUAACUUCAGGAACUGGGGCUAAUACCGGAUAGGAGCUCCUGCUGCAUGGUGGGGGUUGGAAAGUUUCGGCGGUUGGGGAUGGACUCGCGGCUUAUCAGCUUGUUGGUGGGGUAGUGGCUUACCAAGGCUUUGACGGGUAGCCGGCCUGAGAGGGUGACCGGCCACAUUGGGACUGAGAUACGGCCCAGACUCCUACGGGAGGCAGCAGUGGGGAAUAUUGCACAAUGGGCGGAAGCCUGAUGCAGCAACGCCGCGUGCGGGAUGACGGCCUUCGGGUUGUAAACCGCUUUCGCCUGUGACGAAGCGUGAGUGACGGUAAUGGGUAAAGAAGCACCGGCUAACUACGUGCCAGCAGCCGCGGUGAUACGUAGGGUGCGAGCGUUGUCCGGAUUUAUUGGGCGUAAAGGGCUCGUAGGUGGUUGAUCGCGUCGGAAGUGUAAUCUUGGGGCUUAACCCUGAGCGUGCUUUCGAUACGGGUUGACUUGAGGAAGGUAGGGGAGAAUGGAAUUCCUGGUGGAGCGGUGGAAUGCGCAGAUAUCAGGAGGAACACCAGUGGCGAAGGCGGUUCUCUGGGCCUUUCCUGACGCUGAGGAGCGAAAGCGUGGGGAGCGAACAGGCUUAGAUACCCUGGUAGUCCACGCUGUAAACGGUGGGUACUAGGUGUGGGGUCCAUUCCACGGGUUCCGUGCCGUAGCUAACGCUUUAAGUACCCCGCCUGGGGAGUACGGCCGCAAGGCUAAAACUCAAAGGAAUUGACGGGGCCCCGCACAAGCGGCGGAGCAUGCGGAUUAAUUCGAUGCAACGCGUAGAACCUUACCUGGGUUUGACAUGGAUCGGGAGUGCUCAGAGAUGGGUGUGCCUCUUUUGGGGUCGGUUCACAGGUGGUGCAUGGCUGUCGUCAGCUCGUGUCGUGAGAUGUUGGGUUAAGUCCCGCAACGAGCGCAACCCUUGUUCACUGUUGCCAGCACGUUAUGGUGGGGACUCAGUGGAGACCGCCGGGGUCAACUCGGAGGAAGGUGGGGAUGACGUCAAGUCAUCAUGCCCCUUAUGUCCAGGGCUUCACGCAUGCUACAAUGGCUGGUACAGAGAGUGGCGAGCCUGUGAGGGUGAGCGAAUCUCGGAAAGCCGGUCUCAGUUCGGAUUGGGGUCUGCAACUCGACCUCAUGAAGUCGGAGUCGCUAGUAAUCGCAGAUCAGCAACGCUGCGGUGAAUACGUUCCCGGG
rnacentral:rRNA from 1 species